GAUGAACGCUGGCGGCGUGCCUAAUACAUGCAAGUCGAGCGAACGGACGAGAAGCUUGCUUUUCUGAUGUUAGCGGCGGACGGGUGAGUAACACGUGGAUAACCUACCUAUAAGACUGGGAUAACUUCGGGAAACCGGAGCUAAUACCGGAUAAUAUUUUGAACCGCAUGGUUCAAAAGUGAAAGACGGUCUUGCUGUCACUUAUAGAUGGAUCCGCGCUGCAUUAGCUAGUUGGUAAGGUAACGGCUUACCAAGGCAACGAUGCAUAGCCGACCUGAGAGGGUGAUCGGCCACACUGGAACUGAGACACGGUCCAGACUCCUACGGGAGGCAGCAGUAGGGAAUCUUCCGCAAUGGGCGAAAGCCUGACGGAGCAACGCCGCGUGAGUGAUGAAGGUCUUCGGAUCGUAAAACUCUGUUAUUAGGGAAGAACAAAUGUGCAAGUAACUGUGCACAUCUUGACGGUACCUAAUCAGAAAGCCACGGCUAACUACGUG
rnacentral:rRNA from 1 species